UACGGAGGGGACUAGCGUUGUUCGGAAUUACUGGGCGUAAAGCGCACGUAGGCGGAUUUGUAAGUCAGGGGUGAAAUCCCGGGGCUCAACCUCGGAAUUGCCUUCGAUACUGUUAGUCUUGAGUCCGGGAGAGGUGAGUGGAAUUCCUAGUGUAGAGGUGAAAUUCGUAGAUAUUAGGAAGAACACCAGUGGCGAAGGCGGCUCACUGGCCCGGUACUGACGCUCAUGUGCGAAAGCGUGGGGAGCAAACAGG
rnacentral:rRNA from 1 species